rnacentral:tRNA from 1 species
GGCCCGUUGGUCAAGUGGUUAAGACACCGCCCUUUCACGGCGGUAACGCGGGUUCGAAUCCCGUACGGGUCGCCA